rnacentral:rRNA from 1 species
GUACACUCCUGCGGGAGGCAGCAGUGGGGAAUUUUGGACAAUGGGCGAAAGCCUGAUCCAGCAAUGCCGCGUGUGUGAAGAAGGCCUUCGGGUUGUAAAGCACUUUUGUCCGGAAAGAAAUCCUUGGCUCUAAUACAGUCGGGGGAUGACGGUACCGGAAGAAUAAGCACCGGCUAACUACGUGCCAGCAGCCGCGGUAAUACGUAGGGUGCGAGCGUUAAUCGGAAUUACUGGGCGUAAAGCGUGCGCAGGCGGUUUGCUAAGACCGAUGUGAAAUCCCCGGGCUCAACCUGGGAACUGCAUUGGUGACUGGCAGGCUAGAGUAUGGCAGAGGGGGGUAGAAUUCCACGUGUAGCAGUGAAAUGCGUAGAGAUGUGGAGGAAUACCGAUGGCGAAGGCAGCCCCCUGGGCCAAUACUGACGCUCAUGCACGAAAGCGUGGGGAGCAAACAGGAUUAGAUACCCGAGUAGUCCCAUGAU